UACGAACCGAGCGAACGUUGUUCGGAAUCACUGGGCUUAAAGGGCGCGUAGGCGGGCUGCCAAGUUUGGGGUGAAAUCCUCCGGCUCAACCGGGGAAGGGCCUCGAAUACUGGCGGUCUGGAGGGAGGUAGGGGCGUGCGGAACUGUAGGUGGAGCGGUGAAAUGCGUUGAUAUCUACAGGAACUCCGGUGGCGAAGGCGGCACGCUGGACCUUUUCUGACGCUGAGGCGCGAAAGCCAGGGGAGCGAACGGG
rnacentral:rRNA from 1 species